UGGGUUGUGGCUCAGUGGCAGAGCACUUGCCUAGCAAGUGCGAAGCCCUGGGUUCGAUCCUUAGCACCACAU
rfam:Ictidomys tridecemlineatus contig024912, whole genome shotgun sequence.